rnacentral:rRNA from 1 species
GAUGAACGCUAGCUACAGGCUUAACACAUGCAAGUCGAGGGGUAACGAGAGGAAAGCUUGCUUUCCUUGUCGACGACCGGCGCACGGGUGAGUAACGCGUAUCCAACCUGCCCCCAACUAGGGAAUAACCUUGCGACAGUAAGACUAAUACCCUAUAAUUUCCUCAGAUGUCAUCUGACGAGGAAAAAAGAUUUAUCGGUUGUGGAUGGGGAUGCGUCUGAUUCGCUUGUGGGCGGGGUAACGGCCCACCAAGGCAACGAUCAGUAGGGGUUCUGAGAGGAAGGUCCCCCACAUUGGAACUGAGACACGGUCCAAACUCCUACGGGAGGCAGCAGUGAGGAAUAUUGGUCAAUGGGCGGAAGCCUGAACCAGCCAAGUAGCGUGCAGGAUGACGGCCCUAUGGGUUGUAAACUGCUUUUAUACAGGAAUAAAGUUAGCCACGUGUGGUUAUUUGUAGGUACUGUAUGAAUAAGGACCGGCUAAUUCCGUGCCAGCAGCCGCAGUAA